rnacentral:rRNA from 1 species
GAGUUUGAUCCUGGCUCAGGAUGAACGCUGGCGGCGUGCCUAAUACAUGCAAGUCGAACGCACAGCGAAAGGUGCUUGCACCUUUCAAGUGAGUGGCGAACGGGUGAGUAACACGUGGAUAACCUACCUCAAGGUUGGGGAUAACAUUUGGAAACAGAUGCUAAUACCGAAUAAAACUUCGUAUCGCAUGAUACAAGGUUAAAAGGCGCUACGGCGUCACCUAGAGAUGGAUCCGCGGUGCAUUAGUUAGUUGGUGGGGUAAAGGCCUACCAAGACAAUGAUGCAUAGCCGAGUUGAGAGACUGAUCGGCCACAUUGGGACUGAGACACGGCCCAAACUCCUACGGGAGGCUGCAGUAGGGAAUCUUCCACAAUGGGCGAAAGCCUGAUGGCGCAACGCCGCGUGUGUGAUGAAGGCUUUCGGGUCGUAAAGCACUGUUGUAUGGGAAGAACAGCUAGAGUAGGGAAUGACUUUAGUUUGACGGUACCAUACCAGAAAGGGACGGCUAAAUACGUGCCAGCAGCCGCGGUAAUACGUAUGUCCCGAGCGUUAUCCGGAUUUAUUGGGCGUAAAGCGAGCGCAGACGGUUGAUUAAGUCUGAUGUGAAAGCCCGGAGCUCAACUCCGGAAAGGCAUAGGAAACUGGUCAACUUGAGUGCAGUAGAGGUAAGUGGAACUCCAUGUGUAGCGGUGGAAUGCGUAGAUAUAUGGAAGAACACCAGCGGCGAAGGCGGCUUACUGGACUGUAACUGACGUUGAGGCUCGAAAGUGUGGGUAGCAAACAGGAUUAGAUACCCUGGUAGUCCACACCGUAAACGAUGAACACUAGGUGUUAGGAGGUUUCCGCCUCUUAGUGCCGAAGCUAACGCAUUAAGUGUUCCGCCUGGGGAGUACGACCGCAAGGUUGAAACGCAAAGGAAUUGACGGGGACCCGCACAAGCGGUGGAGCAUGUGGUUUAAUUCGAAGCAACGCGAAGAACCUUACCAGGUCUUGACAUCCUUUGAAGCUUUUAGAGAUAGAAGCGUUCUCUUCGGAGACAAAGUGACAGGUGGUGCAUGGUCGUCGUCAGCUCGUGUCGUGAGAUGUUGGGUUAAGUCCCGCAACGAGCGCAACCCUUAUUGUUAGUUGCCAGCAUUCAGAUGGGCACUCUAGCGAGACUGCCGGUGACAAACCGGAGGAAGGCGGGGACGACGUCAGAUCAUCAUGCCCCUUAUGACCUGGGCUACACACGUGCUACAAUGGCGUAUACAACGAGUUGCCAACCUGUGAAGGUGAGCUAAUCUCUUAAAGUACGUCUCAGUUCGGGCUGCAGUCUGCAACUCGACUGCACGAAGUCGGAAUCGCUAGUAAUCGCGGAUCAGCACGCCGCGGUGAAUACGUUCCCGGGUCUUGCACAAAGCGCCCGUCA